GCAGUAGUUUUACUAGUGGAAAACGUAAAAAUAAACUCAGUUAUGAUCGAUAUUAUAGAUGAGAGGUUAUGAAAACUGUACAUAAUUUGACAUAUUUCGUAGAUCAGGAUUCACAUGUCAGUGAGUACUAUAUAAAAAAUAAAACAUUUUUUCAACCCCUCUUUUUGUAUAUCACCCAAUAAAGUUUAUGCGA